rnacentral:lncRNA from 1 species
CACCAGCCUGGGCAGCAGCCUGGCCCUGACUCCUCGGAGCUCCCAUGCCCAGCCCAGUUCUCAGGGCCCCGUUCGCCUGGCUUCUGCGGGCACCCUGCGCCAGGGCUGGGUCCGCUCACCCAGCAGUCAUGGGAGAAGGCGCCCUGGGCAGGGACUGAGGCCAGAACAGGUGUGGACUGAGUUCUGGGAGGAGGAGCCACUUCUGCUGCGCCUGGAGGGAGGUGGCAGCUGGACGAGGGAUAGAACUUGGGACCUUGUGCUUGUGAGGCAGGUGGUGGAACCACUGAGCCAAAUCCCCAGCUCUGUUUUUCUUUUUUAGAUGGGCCUCCUGUUGCUGAGAUGCUGUCCCCACGGAAGGUGACCCCUGGAACUGAGCUGCGAAGCCCCCAGGAGCCCGGAGGGCCAGCGACACCAGCCUGGGGCACUUUGGGGGCGAACAGUGG